ACGUCACCACGCCGCUCGUAGAGGCUUAUGGGAAGUCUCUUCAUAAACACUGCCAGUGGCUAGUAUUCGGUAAGCCUGCAAAGUCCCCCUUUGCGCGUUUCAUCGCCACCGGCGAAUGCUGUGGUUGCUUCUCCCCUCGCCGUCGAGAGGAGUGCGGUGUCCAGUUCAGAUCUAGGAGAUGUGGACCAUUUCUUGUCCUCGUGAGUAUGUGGACCAUUUCUUGUCGCUGUUUAUGUGCUAGCCAGCAGCUAGUGGCUAACUUCGCGUCUGCUGUUCUAUAGGUUGUGAUUCCAACUUGGCGUCUCUUACUUGGCUAGAGUGAUCUCUUGCUUCUCCACUGGCAAGGACUUCGGUGGACAAUACCAACGGUUACCUUGCGCAUUUCCCGUCUCCUGCACGCCGGUAUGUAUUAUAGUGGGUUAGCUUGUGCCUUUACCCAGCCCUGACUGUUUGUUUUCGUACCAUGGUUGCUAACGACGGCCAUUAUUAUGGUUUCAGCGUGUGGUCGCUACCGGCGCCUCGGCCGUGUACCUCUGUAUUGGCACUCCGACUGUGAGAAUCGCGCAUCGGUGCACCCUCAUCUCCGGGUUGUAUCCGUGUGGCCGUGGUCAGACACACCACGCGUUUAGGUGCACGAGCGGCGACUUUUGACCCCGGUUGUGUGGUGCCUCUGGAAGCCGGGAACCCGUAUCUCGGCUGCUGCUCCGGCCUCGGGAAAGUGAACAUUCGUGUGUGUGUGUGUGUGGCGUUGGCGCGCUUUGGUCAGUGUGUGUGUGUGUGUGUGUAAUGAUUGUGUGUGUGUGGGUGGUACGGCCACUAUUAGUCCCUGGGCCAGAAGGCUAACAGGGCUGGACUAACUCUACUUCCCAUCUUUUACUUUUGUUUGCUGUGCCCCUCUUCUAACCCUGUGUGCUGAUUUUUGACUUAAUCCUUUUGUUUAUGGUUUUGCUUAUUCAGUGUUUUGUUUUCUUUGCUUUAUUUGGUUUGCUGUGAAUUAUUUAAUUUAUUUUCUUUUAUUAACCCUUUAGAGUUGGUACCAACCUGAAAAGUCUAAGAUAAGCCCCAGGGGCUGAAGUGUCUGUGUCUGUGCAAUCCAUUUGAGCCAUGUUGGCUACCCCUAGUGACUACACUGUUUGUGGAUCUGUGUGUGUUGUGGCAGAACACCCACCACACUGUAACUGAGUGCAUAUUAUUUUUAUACAGAGUGAAAAACAUAUUUUUUAUAAUGGAAGUAAUAAUAAAGAAUUGAAUUAUUAAUUGUCA